GACAGAGGCCUCGAGCGUUAGGCGGAAUCACUGGGCUUAAAGCGUGUGUAGGCGGGCCCGUAAGUGUCUUGUGAAAUCCCACGGCUCAACCGUGGAACUGCUGGGCAUACUGCGGGUCUUGGGCCAACUAGGGGCAGCCGGAACAAGCGGUGGAGCGGUAAAAUGCGUAGAUAUCGCUUGGAACGCCGAAGGUGAAAACAGGCUGCUGGGGUUGCGCCGACGCUGAGACACGAAAGCCAGGGGAGCAAACGGG
rnacentral:rRNA from 1 species